rnacentral:rRNA from 1 species
UACGUAGGGGGCAAGCGUUGUCCGGAUUUAUUGGGCGUAAAGAGCGUGUAGGCGGCCAGGUAGGUCCGCUGUGAAAACUCGAGGCUCAACCUCGAGAUGUCGGCGGAAACCAUCUGGCUAGAGUCCGGAAGAGGAGAGUGGAAUUCCUGGUGUAGCGGUGAAAUGCGCAGAUAUCAGGAAGAACACCCGUGGCGAAGGCGGCUCUCUGGGACGGUACUGACGCUGGGACGCGAAAGCGUGGGGAGCGAACAGG